CCCAAGUAACUGAUGCUACUAUCUGGAGGGACUCACCUUUACCAACACCAAGGGAGCCAGCCCUGGGAGUUCAUGCCAAGUCAUCUUUCUCCUGCUUUGUUCCCUGGAACUGAUAAACUGCUGCUUCGAAAAACCAGAAGGCCUUGCCUCUAUUUUGUUUUCAGUUCUACUCCCUAAAAGCCUCAGCAUAAAUAUGAGAGGAGAUAAAGGGAAAGUUAAGAAACUUCUGUUAGCACUCUGAUGUUCAAACCCAAGUCUUGAUCUUCCUGUUGAGGGCCAUCCAAGAGCACCAUGAUGAAGUGGAAAGAGAUUGUUCACAAGAAUGAUCACUUACAGAAGACUGAGCCCAAGGCCCUUGCUCAUGGAUUCCCAGACUUAUACGCAUCCGAGAUUGAAGAACUUAAACAUCUUGCCCUUGCCAUGACCACAAAUCAGAGAAUAAUAAAAUUUAAUGUCCAUGGACUUUGA
ensembl:lincRNA